AUUGAACGCUGGCGGAAUGCUUUACACAUGCAAGUCGAACGGCAGCACGGGGGCAACCCUGGUGGCGAGUGGCGAACGGGUGAGUAAUACAUCGGAACGUGCCCAGUCGUGGGGGAUAACGUAGCGAAAGUUACGCUAAUACCGCAUACGAUCUACGGAUGAAAGCGGGGGACCGUAAGGCCUCGCGCGAUUGGAGCGGCCGAUGUCAGAUUAGGUAGUUGGUGAGGUAAAGGCUCACCAAGCCGACGAUCUGUAGCUGGUCUGAGAGGACGACCAGCCACACGGGGACUGAGACACGGCCCAGACUCCUACGGGAGGCAGCAGGGGGGAAUUUUGGACAAUGGGCGCAAGCCUGAUUCAGCCAUUCCGCGUGCGGGACGAAGGCCUUCGGGUUGUAAACUGCUUUUGUACGGAACGAAAAGGCUCUGGUUAAUACCUGGGGCUCAUGACGGUACCGUAAGAAUAAGCACCGGCUAACUACGUGCCAGCCGCCGCCGUAA
rnacentral:rRNA from 1 species